GGAUUUUAGUUUAAAAAAUAAACAUUUGAUUUGCAAUCAAAAAUUAUUGAAAUAUCAAUUUAUCUUAU
rnacentral:tRNA from 1 species